rnacentral:rRNA from 1 species
GAUGAACGCUGGCGGCGUGCCUAAUACAUGCAAGUCGAGCGAACAGACGAGGAGCUUGCUCCUUCGACGUUAGCGGCGGACGGGUGAGUAACACGUAGGUAACCUACCUAUAAGACUGGGAUAACUUCGGGAAACCGGAGCUAAUACCGUAUAAUAUUUCGAACCGCAUGGUUCGAUAGUUAAAGAUGGCUUUGCUAUCACUUAUAGAUGGACCUGCGCCGUAUUAGCUAGUUGGUAAGGUAACGGCUUACCAAGGCAACGAUACGUAGCCGACCUGAGAGGGUGAUCGGCCACACUGGAACUGAGACACGGUCCAGACUCCUACGGGAGGCAGCAGUAGGGAAUCUUCCGCAAUGGGCGAAAGCCUGACGGAGCAACGCCGCGUGAGUGAUGAAGGUCUUCGGAUCGUAAAACUCUGUUAUUAGGGAAGAACAAACGUGUAAGUAACUGUGCACGUCUUGACGGUACCUAAUCAGAAAGCCACGGCUAACUACGUG